UUGGGAAUGCUUUCAGAAGCGAUGCUGAAAUCCAUCGGGACGGCCGGACGCUCAGCUUUGCCUCCUCCACUUACAGCAUCAGGAAAAGAGCCACCAGCUGCAGCUUUUGUGGGUGGUGGAUCCCAGCGGGUGGACCAGGACAGGGAGGCUGUCCGGACCACGGCCCUGUUGUGGUAUCAUGGUGUUCCCACAUGCAAAGGAUGCGUGAAGACUCCCGUCCUGCAUUGCUGACACGCGUGUGACCUGGGACAUUCCCACACAACUGUGAGAGAGGAGCGAAAGGAACCUACGGGGGGUGACGCACCAUUUCCUCGGAAGGGGGGUCUGUGAGCAGGCUCACGACCGUGGCCGUGAUGGUGGUGAUGGCAGCGAGGAUCAUGGAGAAGUAGAGAAGCAGCCCAGGAUGAAAACCAUGGCCACUGGGGGCUGCAGGUAGGAGCUGAUGGACUGGAUGUAGAUGAAGAGCUGCCCCCCUUGGCUGGCCUGCACCAGCGGGAUCCACAGGAUGGAGACCACGACAAGCAGC